GACAGAUGGAAACCCUAACUGUUCCUAGACACACAAGGACUUCAGGAAACGAAAUAAUCCUAUGUUUGAACUGAUGAGGAGAAGUAUGACACAAAAAAAAAACUCAGAAAAAUCAACGAUUACUGAAUAAUAACCAGAGAAGACAGAGAAAAAGAGAAAAAACCUAGAUUUGCCAGAGAAGACAGAAACUUUGACGAAACCGAGUGAGGGUAACAUCGCGACGUAGCCCGUGACGAUCGGAAUCGGAAUCCCCGCUCUGAUACCAUGUCAAAAUUAUUGAACUCCAGAGUGAGGGUAACAUCGCGACGUAGCCUGUGACGAUCGGAAUCGGAAUCCCCGCUCUGAUACCAUGUCAAAAUUAUCGAACUCCAUUAAUGUACAGAUCAGUUUUUGAGAUGAAAGAGAGAGAGAGAGAGAAGAACCGAUGAUAUUUUUAUUUCUGUUCUUCAAUAGAAA
rnacentral:lncRNA from 1 species